AGUCUAUGUACACACAGAAAAGUGUGAAGUUUUAGUCCCUCCUUGUCUCACAAUGAUAAAUACGUGAUGUUUUACAAAAGAUGAAUAAUAAAAAGAAGAAAUUCGCCAGCAAAACUGAAAGCGCAACAAAGAAAGUGAUAAACUAGAAGUAGAGGUAGAAUUGAACAUAAAUGGAGUUAUAAAAGAAAUAAAUGACCAUAAAAAUGUUGACACUGCUGUCAUUGGAGAAAUUCUAGAUAAGUAGCCAGAAGGAACUUAGUAAAAGUCUACUUAAUGGUGUAAAUAAGGAAAGUGGUUCUGACGAAAAGAAUGAAGAUGUCCUUGAGGAAGCGCUGCCAGGAAUAAACUCAGCAUUAAAAGAAUUCUCAGAGACAUUUUACAGCAUUGAAAGUGCAAAGGGUAAAAUAAUGUAAACGGAUCCAAACUUAAGAAGGAAUAUGACAAGUUGCCAAGAUAUAGAAGUGAAGCUUGCUUCCUAUCAUAAGAUAUACCAUGAGAAGAAGAGCCAGACCUUGAUUUCAUGCGAGAAGGUGGAGUAGGAGGAAGAGAAGGAGGAGAGUUAGAAGGAGUAGGAGGAGGAGGAAAACCUCCUGGCUCGUCUGAGUAUAUUCCUAGGUGAUGGCAGAGGGGCAAGAAAGCAAGCAAAAAGAAGCACAGAAGCCCUCUCAUGGCCAAAACUGGCUUGGUGUCACUUUUACCUCAUUCUAUUGGUCAAAAAAAGUCAACAGGCUGAGCCCAGAGUCAGAGUGGGAGAGUACUGCAUGGUUACAUGACAGAGGAUGUGGAUAUGAGGAAUCGUGAAGAACUGCAUCCAUUAGAGCCAUCUGUCACAGAAGGGACUAUUGUCAUUUUACUAAUUUUGUACAUGAGGAUAGGGAAGCAUGGAGAUGGUAACAUGCCUAAAGUCACAUAGCUUCUUAGCUGUGGAACCAGAAAGUAAACCUGGGCCUUCUGGGCCCAGGGCCCGUGGCUGUUAAAACCACUGUGCACACUGCCUUACUCCUACCCUUCACAAUCAGGUUUCUGCUCUGACCACCCUAGAAAACAUGCCCGUCUCAGGUUACCGAUGCUCUCCUAUGGACAGAUCCAAUAGCCUUUGUUAAUUGUCCACAUCUCUAUCCAUUCUGUAAUACUCCUGCAUGCUGCAUCCUUGGAGUUCUUUUCUCCUUUGAUUCUGCAGAACCUGUACUGUUUUGUUUCUCUUUCUGGCUUCCUCUGUCUGUCUCUCUUCACCAACUACAUAAUGCAUUCACUUCUUUUUCUUGGCAUCUCCCUUUCCAAGCACACCCACUCUCCUGGUUUCCAUUAUCUCCCUGCAGACAACUCUCAACUGGCUCUAAGAAAGCUCACUAUAAUUUUCAGCAACCUAAUUCAGUCGUUUGUCCGUCACAAAUAACAGCUCAGGAAAAUCAAAGGAUUUUCUCACUAGCAUCUUAUCAUUCCAUGUCACCUAGCAACUAUCCCAGUGCUUGAUAUUCUGCUACUAGAAACUCCCUACUACACAGAUAAUACCACUGGAAGGUAUAAAGCCACUUGACUGACCUCUCUCCAUUCACAGCAUUUAUAACUGUAAGAAAUUGCCAGUGGUUGACUCUUUCCGACCUUCGAAAGUGGCAAUUUCAUGUGGUUCAGCUUAAUAGUAUUUAUUACCUUGUGCUGUAAUAAUUUUGUAUCUGUAUCUCCCAUGAGACUCAAAGCUGCUUGAUUGAGGAGAUCAUGCUUGCUUCUGCUUUUCAUCAAGUUGCCUAGUACAUGACACUCUGUAAGGAUUAGACCAAGUAGGUAUUGAAUAAUUGUUUGGCGAAUUUAAAAAAUUAAAGAAACAUUUGAAAUCAAUGCACCAGAGGCUAGAGACAGAGUGCUAGGAAGGGAACAGGAUGGGGACAGGGACACCAGAGCAAAGAUAGAGUCAAAGACACAUUUCCAAAAUGGCAAUUCAUGCCUUGUGUCAGUUGUACCCACCUCACAUUCUUUAACACUUAAGGUUUUUCUGGGUAGUAAGUGCAAUACAUUCUUAUUAUAAAACAAUAUAGACAGUUCAGUAUGUAUAAAUGAGGAUAAAAUCAAAAUCACCCACAAUCUCACCACUUUGUGAUAAUAACCAUUAACUUCAAUAUUGAUGAAUUUCCUUGAAUGUUUUAUCUACAAUAUUUCUUUCAUAUAGUUGAUAUCACUCUGUAUGCACAAACUUGUAUCCUUUUUCUAAAUCUUAAUAUCAUAAUAUUAGCAUUUUCUAAUGUUAGUAGAUGUACUUCUUAAAUAUUGCUUUUUAAUGAUAAAGGUUUUUUUUUUUUUUUUUACAAAUAAAGAUUUGUCUAUAUUUUGGGUUAUUUCCUUAACACAUAUUCACAAAGGUAAGAAUUAAAAAGUAAUUUUAACUAAGUCAAGGAGCAUGAAAAGUUUUUAGAU
rnacentral:lncRNA from 1 species